rfam:Sphaerobolus stellatus SS14 unplaced genomic scaffold SPHSTscaffold_396, whole genome shotgun sequence.
GGUAACGUGGCCGAGCGGUCCAAGGCGCUAGUUUCAGGUUUUGCUUUGGUGACCCCCAUUUACUAGUCUCGCAAGAGGCGUGAGUUCGAAUCUCACCGUUGCCA